rnacentral:rRNA from 1 species
GCAAGUCGAACGAGAACGGUCCUUCGGGAUGUCAGCUAAGUGGCGGACGGGUGAGUAAUGUAUAGUUAAUCUGCCCUUUAGAGGGGGAUAACAGUUGGAAACGACUGCUAAUACCCCAUACUCCUUUUACCUUAAUGGUAAUUGGGAAACGUUUUUUCGCUAAAGGAUGAGACUAUAUGGUAUCAGGUAGUUGGUGGGGUAAGAGCCUACCAAGACGAUGAUGCAUAGCCGACCUGAGAGGGUGAUC